UUUUUCAGUCAAUAAAUGGUCUGAACUCGUGCACAAACUAUAUUGCUUUUGACGAUCGAAAUGUAGAAACUUUUGUACAGUUAGCAGCAAUAAAUACAGUAGUUUUAGUAGCGGCUAUGUUCUGUGAUAAAGAGAUGUGCCUUACUUUAUUUCUAUGCAUCUAUUCGUUGAAAAGGCAUGUUUUCUUUUUUUUUUUUUUUUGUUUUACUUCGCUAUAUACGCAGAAUAUUUAUUGUUCUUUUCUAAUAUUUUUAUUUUGAUAUAAAAGAAAUGCCAAUAAAAUUAUAUUUACUUA